AUUGAACGCUGGCGGCAGGCCUAACACAUGCAAGUCGAGCGGAUGAAGGGAGCUUGCUCCUGGAUUCAGCAGCGGACGGGUGAGUAAUGCCUAGGAAUCUGCCUGGUAGUGGGGGAUAACGUCCGGAAACGGGCGCUAAUACCGCAUACGUCCUGAGGGUGAAAGUGGGGGAUCUUCGGACCUCACGCUAUCAGAUGAGCCUAGGUCGGAUUAGCUAGUUGGUGGGGUAAAGGCCUACCAAGGCGACGAUCCGUAACUGGUCUGAGAGGAUGAUCAGUCACACUGGAACUGAGACACGGUCCAGACUCCUACGGGAGGCAGCAGUGGGGAAUAUUGGACAAUGGGCGAAAGCCUGAUCCAGCCAUGCCGCGUGUGUGAAGAAGGUCUUCGGAUUGUAAAGCACUUUAAGUUGGGAGGAAGGGCAGUAAGUUAAUACCUUGCUGUUUUGACGUUACCAACAGAAUAAGCACCGGCUAACUUCGUG
rnacentral:rRNA from 1 species